UCUCAUCCAGGAUGAUGCAGUUUGACAAUUUCCAUGGAGGUGAUUGAUGAUGAUAAAUAAUUGGUGAAGUAGGCCUAAUAGAACAGUGACUGGACCACAAAGAGAAAUACAAACUACAGCAGUUAUAUGAGACUGGUGUAACAGAUGUUUUCAUUCAAGAAAUCCAAA